rnacentral:rRNA from 1 species
GUGCAGGAUGACGGCCUAUGGAUUGUAAACUGCUUUUGUACAGGAAGAAACAUCCCGACGUGUCGGGACUUGACGGUACUGUAAGAAUAAGGAUCGGCUAACUCCGUGCCAGCAGCCGCGGUAAUACGGAGGAUCCAAGCGUUAUCCGGAAUCAUUGGGUUUAAAGGGUCUGUAGGCGGUUUAGUAAGUCAGGGGUGAAAGCCCAUCGCUCAACGGUGGAACGGCCAUUGAUACUGCUAGACUUGAAUUAUUAGGAAGUAACUAGAAUAUGUAGUGUAGCGGUGAAAUGCUUAGAGAUUACAUGGAAUACCAAUUGCGAAGGCAGGUUACUACUAAUGGAUUGACGCUGAUGGACGAAAGCGUGGGUAGCGAACAGGAUUAGAUACCCUGGUAGUCCACGCCGUAAACGAUGGAUACUAGCUGUUGGAAGCAAUUUCAGUGGCUAAGCGAAAGUGAUAAGU